AAAUUCCUACGGGGCGCAGCAGUGGGGAAUAUUGGGCAAUGGGCGCAAGCCUGACCCAGCGACGCCGCGUGAGUGAAGGAGCGUUUCGGCGCGUAAAGCUCUAUCAGCAGGGAAGACAAACUGCCCCGGAAGGGGCAGCCGGACGGUACCUGACCAAGAAGCCCCGGCUAACUACGUGCCAGCAGCCGCGGUAAUACGUAGGGGGCAAGCGUUAUCCGGAUUUACUGGGUGGAAAGGGAGCGU
rnacentral:rRNA from 1 species